UCCCAGACUCCUACGGGAGGCAGCAGUGGGGGAUAUUGCACAAUGGGGGAAACCCUGAUGCAGCGACGCCGCGUGAGUGAAGAAGUAAUUCGUUACGUAAAGCUCUAUCAGCAGGGAAGAAAAUGACGGUACCUGACUAAGAAGCCCCGGCUAACUACGUGCCAGCAGCCGCGGUAAUACGUAGGGGGCAAGCGUUAUCCGGAAUUACUGGGUGUAAAGGGAGCGCAGACGGCAGUGCAAGUCUGGAGUGAAAGGCGGGGGCUCAACCCCCGGACUGCUCUGGAAACUGUGCGGCUGGAGUGCAGGAGAGGUAAGUGGAAUUCCUAGUGUAGCGGUGAAAUGCGUAGAUAUUAGGAGGAACACCAGUGGCGAAGGCGGCCUGCUGGACGACAACUGACGGUGAGGCGCGAAAGCGUGGGGAGCAAACAGGAUUAGAUACCCCCGUAAC
rnacentral:rRNA from 1 species